GAAGGAUCAUUAUCGAAUUUGGAUCCGAAGGGGAAGGACGAGCGAGCGAAGUUUGCAGAAGCAUUAGAGAUGGUCGCUGGCCUUUGGAAACGAAGGCAUGUGCACGUCUCGGUCCUCGUUCUCUUUCCUUUCGUAAAUCUUUGACACCCGUGCACCUCUUGUAGGUCCCUGCGAGGGGACCUAUGUCUUCACAAACUCUUUGUAUGUCCAGGAAUGUAUCUAAAGCGUCGACCGGCUUGGCUGAACGUCCAGUCGGCGACGGUAAAGAACGUAAUACAACUUUCAGCAACGGAUCUCUUGGCUCUCGCAUCGAUGAAGAACGCAGCGAAUUGCGAUAAGUAAUGUGAAUUGCAGAUUUUCAGUGAAUCAUCGAAUCUUUGAACGCACCUUGCGCUCCUUGGUAUUCCGAGGAGCAUGCCUGUUUGAGUGUCAUUUAAUUCUCAACCAUCCCUCGAUUGAUCUUUCGAGGUUUGGCUUGGAUUUUGGGAGCUGCCGGCGACCGAUCGGGUCUUUGGCUCUCCUCAAAAGCAUUAGCGACGGCGGUGUGACCUCCCCCGUGCAUGAACGGCCUUCGACGUGAUAAUGAUCGUCGUGGGCUGGAGUGCUAGCGGGCGUCGCGUCGCGUUCGGCGCUUCUAAUCCUCGUCGAAAGACGAAAUAUAUCGAAACUUGACCUCAAAUCAGGUAGGACUACCCGCUGAACUUAAGCAUAUCAAUAAGCGGAGGAAAAG
rnacentral:rRNA from 1 species